CAGUAGCCGCGGGAAUACAGAGGUCCAGAGCGUUGUUCGGAUUCACUGGGCGUAAAGGGUGUGUAGGAGGCUAGAUAAGACAGUUGUGAAAUCCCACCGCUUAACGGUGGAACUGCAAUCGAUACUGUUUGGCUAGAGGAUCGGAGGGGGAAGCGGAAUUCUUGGUGUAGUGGUGAAAUGCGUAGAUAUCGGAAGGAACACCUGUGGCGAAAGCGGCUCACUGGACCAUAACUGACGCUGAUGCACGAAAGCUAGGGGAGCAAACAGGAUUAGAUACCCCAGUAGUCCCUGUCUCUUAUAC
rnacentral:rRNA from 1 species